CUUCAACCAACCGUUGGUUAGGGGGAUAUGGUUAUAUUGUUAACCCUUCAUUAAAAUUAAAUAAUUAGAAAAUUUAUCCGAAAUUUGGGAUUGGCGUGAGUGUAGCAGAUGAGAAAUGAAGCAUGAAGUAGUAGCAGGAGAAGAGGAACAUUGAAUGGUGUGGGUUCCAAAAUAGAACCUUUGAUCCUUUGAGAGAAGCAGAAGAAUGCUGAAAGCUAUUCAGAUACGUGGGUGUGUUACCCUCCGUUGUUGGAGCCUCAAACAACCCCUUUCCUUCAUUUCUAUUUCAUCUUCUUUCAAUUCCAAACCCUUUUCCUCAUUCUCCCCAAUCCCAUACCCUUCCAUCGAUUCUUCCACGCCCCGACCUCGCAGGCUUCGAUUCACUCCCUUUCACGCUUCAUCAUCACCACCACCCCCACCACUACUUCAUUCUGCUGGUGUUCGAAACAUCAAGUUCUGUCAGUGGUGUGGUGGUCCAACAAAGCAUGAUAUACCUGAUGGAGAAGAAAAAUUGAGAGCCAUUUGUACACUUUGUGGGAAGAUUGCUUAUCAGAAUCCAAAAAUGGUAGUCGGUUGCCUCAUCGAUCAUGAUAACAAGGUCCUUCUUUGCAAGAGGAAUAUUCAACCAUCUCAUGGCCUUUGGACGCUUCCUGCUGGUUAUUUGGAAAUUGGAGAAUCAGCUGUGGAAGGUGCUAUAAGGGAAACGAGGGAAGAAGCAAACGCUGAUGUGGAAGUUAUUUCUCCGUUUGCUCAAUUGGAUAUUCCUUUAAUCGGACAAACUUAUAUGAUAUUCUUAGCAAAACUGAAGACACCCCACUUUUCACCGGGUCCAGAAUCAUCAGAAUGCCAACUAUUUCCGGUUGAUGAAAUACCUAUCGAUUCUCUAUCCUUUUCAUCAAUGGUGGUUACCUUAAGUUUGUAUGUUGAGGAUGUUAAGGCUGGAAAACCUAAAUUCCAUUAUGGCAUCAUCAACAAAAGGUAUUUUCUUCCUAAAUACACUAUGUUUCCGCAGAAUCUUAUGCAUCAUAUAUUUGAGAGAAGAAAGAAUAUUAUUUUAGAAAGCAGUGAUUCAUUUGGACAAAGUUAUGUUGGCCUUCUUAAGUACAUGGAUCUCAACUUGUUGCGUGGAUUGGGUUGUCUCAUGAUUAGCAAAAUUGCACAAAAUGAACUAGAGUUUGCACUUUGCAUCGUCAUAUUUUUUGCAGACACGUGAAAUCAGCCCGGUACGAGUCCUUCAGAUAUUCAUGCCUAUACAUUGGAUCAUCAUAUGCACUUGUGAGAAGUACAUUCUGGAUAUCUGAAGAUUGCAAGUUGAAAAAUCUGUCUUGAGUUCAGUACGCCUGCAGUGUUCUUUGUCUCUUGCAGUGGCCCAAUACUUUUGUUUUUGUUAUGUCAGACAGCACAGAAUUUACCCAAAUUACUCUCUUAACCCCAACAUUGUUAUGAUGAGCAGCUGUUUCAACGUAAGGAAGAAAUGUUGCAGUUCAUGAUCACUCUUAACUUCCUCAAGGGAUGUUCUCAAAAUGUGUAGUUGCAAUCAUGCUCACCCUUAACUAGUACUUUAGAACAAAGAUUGACAACUAUUGUAUCUCUAUUGGAAUUGUAAACACACAUGUUCAUUUAGAUAAAUCAAAUUCUUUUCGGAUUUCUCUGUACAAAGAAGCCAAUUCUUGAAACUGCAUUCUUUUAGCCUGCAUGAUGCAAUAAGUAAAUAAUAUAAUUAUGGCUUAAUCUUUUGCUAAAGAGAAUCUCUUUAUAGGCUAGUAACUUAGUAAGUUAGGUA